rnacentral:rRNA from 1 species
CCAAUAGCGUAUAUUAAAGUUGUUGCAGUUAAAAAGCUCGUAGUUGAAUUUCGGGGUCAGUAGGUCGGUCGUGCCACUGGUAUGAACUGGUUUCACUGAUUCCUCCCUCUUGUAGAACCGUGAUGCCAUUAAUUUGGUGUUGCGGGGAAACAGGACUGUUACUUUGAAAAAAUUAGAGUGUUUAAAGCAAGCUAACGCUUGAAUACAUUAGCAUGGAAUAAUGAAAUAGGACGUCGAUCUUAUUUUGUUGGUUUCUAGGGUUGACGUAAUGAUUAAUAGGGAUAGUUGGGGGCAUUAGUAUUCAAUUGUCAGAGGUGAAAUUCUUGGAUUUAUUGAAGACUAACUACUGCGAAAGCAUUUGCCAAGGAUGUUUUCAUUAAUCAAGAACGAAAGUUAGGGGAUCGAAGGCGAUCAGAUACCGUCGUAGUCUUAACCAUAAACUAUGCCGACUAGGGAUCGGAUGAUGUUAAUUUUUUAAUGACUCAUUCGGCGCCUUACG